UACGUAGGGUGCAAGCGUUGUCCGGAAUUAUUGGGCGUAAAGAGCUCGUAGGCGGUUUGUCGCGACUGCUGUGAAAACUCGGGGCUUAACCCCGGGCCUGCAGUGGGUACGGGCAGACUAGAGUGCGGUAGGGGAGACUGGAAUUCCUGGUGUAGCGGUGAAAUGCGCAGAUAUCAGGAGGAACACCGGUGGCGAAGGCGGGUCUCUGGGCCGUAACUGACGCUGAGGAGCGAAAGCGUGGGGAGCGAACAGG
rnacentral:rRNA from 1 species